GUAGGCAGGCGAGGAGCGGGAAGACCAUCUCUGCAAGUGCAGCAUAGCCUCGGCCUAGGACAGCGGGAGUGCGUGGCCAAAGCUGUGAGCAGAGGCACAGGUGGUGGCAGACAGUAGAGGCGCCCCAUGGGGAACAUACUGACCUGUCGUGUGCACCCUAGCGUCAGCCUCGAGUUUGACCAGCAGCAGGGGUCGGUGUGUCCCUCUGAAUCUGAGAUCUAUGAGGCAGGAGCUGAGGACAGGAUGGCAGGAGCGCCCAUGGCUGCUGCUGUACAGCCUGCUGAGGUGACUGUUGAAGUUGGUGAGGACCUCCACAUGCACCACGUUCGUGACCGGGAGAUGCCUGAAGCUUUGGAGUUUAACCUUUCUGCCAAUCCAGAGGGCAAGCACAAUAUUACAGAGGAACUCUCAAACAGAUGCUUUGGAGUUUAACCCUUCUGCCAAUCCAGAGGCAAGCACAAUAUUCCAGAGGAACUCUCAAACAGAUGUUGUAGAAAUAAGAAGAAGCAACUGUACAAACCAUUGUGACCUUGGAGAUACCUCAUCAUAUCACACAAAGAGAUGCAGAUAGAUCUUUGAGCAUACCUGAUGAACAGUUACACUCAUUUGCGGUUUCCACCGUGCACAUUACGAAGAACAGAAAUGGAGGUGGGAGUUUAAAUAACUAUUCCUCCUCCAUUCCAUCGACUCCCAGCACCAGCCAGGAGGACCCUCAGUUCAGUGUUCCUCCCACUGCCAACACACCCACCCCCGUUUGCAAGCGGUCCAUGCGCUGGUCCAACCUGUUUACAUCUGAGAAAGGGAGUGACCCAGACAAAGAGAGGAAAGCCCCGGAGAAUCAUGCUGACACCAUCGGGAGCGGCAGAGCCAUCCCCAUUAAACAGGGCAUGCUCUUAAAGCGAAGUGGGAAAUGGCUGAAGACAUGGAAAAAGAAAUACGUCACCCUGUGUUCCAAUGGUGUGCUCACCUAUUAUUCAAGCUUAGGUGAUUAUAUGAAGUAUAUUCAUAAAAAAGAGAUUGACCUUCAGACAUCUACCAUCAAAGUCCCAGGAAAGUGGCCAUCCCUAGCCACAUUGGCCUGCACACCCAUCUCCAGCUCUAAAAGCGAUGGCCUAUCCAAGGACAUGGACACCGGGCUGGGUGACUCCAUAUGCUUCAGCCCCAGUAUCUCCAGCACCACCAUCCCCAAGCUCAACCCGCCCCCCUCUCCUCAUGCCAAUAAAAAGAAACACCUAAAGAAGAAAAGCACCAACAACUUUAUGAUUGUGUCUGCCACUGGCCAAACGUGGCACUUUGAAGCCACGACAUAUGAGGAGCGGGAUGCAUGGGUCCAAGCCAUCCAGAGCCAGAUCCUGGCCAGCCUGCAGUCAUGCGAGAGCAGUAAAAGCAAGUCCCAGCUGACCAGCCAGAGCGAGGCCAUGGCCCUGCAGUCGAUCCAAAACAUGCGUGGGAACGCCCACUGUGUGGACUGUGAGACCCAGAAUCCUAAGUGGGCCAGUUUGAACUUGGGAGUCCUCAUGUGUAUUGAAUGCUCAGGUAUCCACCGCAGUCUUGGCACCCGCCUUUCCCGUGUGCGAUCUCUGGAGCUGGAUGACUGGCCAGUUGAGCUCAGGAAGGUUAUGUCAUCUAUUGGCAAUGACCUAGCCAACAGCAUCUGGGAAGGGAGCAGCCAGGGGCGGACAAAACCCACAGAAAAGUCCACGAGGGAAGAGAAGGAACGGUGGAUCCGUUCCAAAUAUGAGGAGAAGCUCUUUCUGGCCCCACUACCCUGCACUGAGCUGUCCCUGGGCCAGCAGCUGCUGCGGGCCACCGCUGAUGAGGACCUGCAGACAGCCAUCCUGCUGCUGGCACAUGGCUCCCGUGAGGAGGUGAACGAGACCUGUGGGGAGGGAGACGGCUGCACGGCGCUCCAUCUGGCCUGCCGCAAGGGGAAUGUGGUCCUGGCGCAGCUCCUGAUCUGGUACGGGGUGGACGUCAUGGCCCGAGAUGCCCACGGGAACACAGCGCUGACCUACGCCCGGCAGGCCUCCAGCCAGGAGUGCAUCAACGUGCUUCUGCAGUACGGCUGCCCCGACGAGUGUGUGUAGUAUCUGUUUUAUUUGACUGCAGUCUCCUUGGUGCAAAAACAAAAUGGGAAAAAUAAGGAUAACUCAGAAUUUCAAAAGGAAAUCACAAAUUCAGCUAAUAAUAGCAUUUUCAGUACUUUUCGUAAACUAAGUAAAUACACAAAAUGUUGAUUUUUCUGACCAUAAGACGUAUUUUAUGUCCUUUUGCCAAGGUGGAUUUGUUAGUCUCAGGCCCUCCUGGCCACAUUGCCCAAGUCACACAGGCUUCUGUAUUAUGUAUUUAGAUAAAAUGUGUGAAAAUAUAUUUGAAAUAAAGUUCAUAAAUAUGCAUUGAUUUUUUA